rnacentral:rRNA from 1 species
AGAGUUUGAUCAUGGCUCAGAGUGAACGCUGGCGGCGUGCUUAACACAUGCAAGUCGCACGAGAACGCUUCUGCUUGCAGAGGCUAGUAAAGUGGCGCACGGGUGAGUAACACGUGGGUAAUCUACCUCCGAGAUGGGGAUAACGUUGCGAAAGCGACGCUAAUACCGGAUAAUAUCUCAGGGUCUUCGGGCCUUGAGAUCAAAGGUGGCCUCUUCAUGAAAGCUAUCACUUGGAGAUGAGCUCGCGUCCCAUUAGCUUGUUGGUAGGGUAAUGGCCUACCAAGGCAACGAUGGGUAGCUGGUCUGAGAGGAUGAUCAGCCACACUGGAACUGACACACGGUCCAGACUCCUACGGGAGGCAGCAGUGAGGAAUUUUGCGCAAUGGGGGAAACCCUGACGCAGCAACGCCGCGUGAGUGAUGAAGGUCUUCGGGUCGUAAAGCUCUGUCAAGUGGGAAGAACCUGUAGACGGCUAAUACCUGUCUGCACUGACGGUACCACUGAAGGAAGCACCGGCUAACUCCGUGCCAGCAGCCGCGGUAAUACGGGGGGUGCAAGCGUUACUCGGAAUCAUUGGGCGUAAAGGGCGCGUAGGCGGCCUGGUGAGUCAGAUGUGAAAGCCCGGGGCUCAACCCCGGAAGUGCAUUUGAUACUGCCAGGCUUGAGUAUGGGAGAGGGAAGUGGAAUUCCUGGUGUAGAGGUGAAAUUCGUAGAUAUCAGGAGGAACACCGGUGGCGAAGGCGACUUCCUGGACCAAUACUGAGCUGAGGGCGAAGGCGUGGGGAGCAAACAGGAUUAGAUACCCUAGUAGUCC